AUUGAACGCUGGCGGCAGGCCUAACACAUGCAAGUCGAGCGGAUGAAGGUAGCUUGCUCCUGGAUUCAGCGGCGGACGGGUGAGUAAUUCCUAGGAAUCUGCCUUGUAGUUGGGGAUAACGUCCGGAAACGGGCGCUAAUACCGCAUACGUCCUGAGGGAUAAAGCGGGGGAUCUUCGGACCUCACUCUAUCAGAUUAGCCUAGGUCGGAUUAGUAAGUUGGUGGGGUAAAUGCCUACCAAGGCGCCGAUCCGUAACUGGUCUGAGAGGAUGAUCAGUCAAACUGGAACUGAGACACGGUCCAGCCUCCUACGGGAGGAAGCAGUGGGGAAUAUUGGACAAUGGGCGAAAGCCUGCUCCAGCCAGGCCGCGUGUGUGAAGAAGGUCUUCGGAUGGUAAAGCACUUUAAGUUGGGAGGAAGGGCAGUAAGUUAAUACCUUGCUGUUUUGACGUUACCAACAGAAUAAGCACCGGCUAACUUCGUG
rnacentral:rRNA from 1 species